rnacentral:rRNA from 1 species
GUGUCAGCAGCCGCGGUAAUACGUAGGGUGCGAGCGUUAAUCGGAAUUACUGGGCGUAAAGCGUGCGCAGGCGGUUCUCCAAGUCCGUUGUGAAAGCCCCGGGCUCAACCUGGGAAUGGCAGUGGAAACUAGGGGACUGGAAUCUGGCAGAGGGGGGUGGAAUGCCGCGUGUAGCAGUGAAAUGCGUAGAGAUGCGGCGGAACACCGAUGGCGAAGGCAGCCCCCUGGGCUGAGAUUGACGCUCAGGCACGAAAGCGUGGGGAGCAAACAGGAUUAGAAACCCCUGUAGUCC